CCGAUAUGAGCUAAAGCCACAUGGGCCUUCUCGGCCUUCUCCUUGUUCCUGAGCUUGCUUCAACAAUUCUUGCUCAAGUGACCUCUCUUCUCACAGUUCGAGCACU